rnacentral:rRNA from 1 species
ACUGCCCGUCUACCAACCCUAAUCAAACUCCGAAUACCGCUCAGUGAAACGCGGCAGUGAGACUGCGGGGGAUAAGCUUCGUAGUCGAGAGGGAAACAGCCCAGACCGGCAGCCAAGGUGCCUAAAUGCCGCUCAGUGGAAAGGAGGUGGGACUGCGCAGACAGUGAGGAUGUUGGCUUAGAGGCAGCCACCAUUUAAACAGUGCGUAAUAGCUGACUCAUCGAGUGGUCCCGCGCCGAAAAUGAUUGGCGAUCAAGCGGCAUACCGAAGCUCCGGAUGCCAUGGGGAUUCGUCCCCGUGGUGUGGUAGGAGAGCAUUGUCUGAGGGUUGAAGCUGGAAGGCGACUGAAAGUGGACUUCAGACAAGAGAGCAUGCAGACAUAAGUAACGUGAAGGCCGGUGAAAUCCCGGCCCGCCGUAAACCCAAGGUUUCCUGGGCCACGCCAGUCGUCCCAGGGUUAGUCGGGACCUAAGCCGAGGCGGAGACGCGCAGGCGAUGGACAGCGGAUUAAUAUUUCCGCACCGCCGAAACUUAAACCGGAAUGACGGGGUAUGGGAGAGGGCCUGCCGGCUGAAAGUGGCAGGGGCGCAAGCUGACGCGGAGACUUUAAGUCGAAGCGGAUCCCUUGAACAGACCUCCAGGAAAAGUUCCGGCGCAUGCCAAGGUGCCCGUACCGCAAACCGACACAGGUGGGUGGGUAGAAUAUACCAAGGCGCAAGAGUGAACCCCCGUUAAGGAACUCGGCAAUCUAGCCCCGUAACUUCGGGAGAAGGGGUGCCCCUGGCAACAGGGGCCGCAGUGAAUGGGCCCAACCGACUGUUUAUCAAAAACACAGCAUUGUGCCAAGGCGCAAGCCGACGUAUACGAUGUGACACGUGACCAAUGCGGAAAGAUUAAGGCAAGAGGUCAGCCGCAAGGCGAAGCUUUGAACCCAAGUCCCCGUGAAUGUCGGCCGUAACAAUAACGGUCCUAAGGUAGCGAAAUUCCUUGUCGGGUAAGUUCCGACCUGCACGAAUCGUGUAACGAGUUGGGCGCUGUCUCAACGGGGCGCUCAGUGAAAUUGUAUUGGCGGUGAAGAUGCCGCCUGCCCGUGGAAGGACGGAAAGACCCUAUGCACCUUAACUGUACUCUGUCACUGUUGUUUCGGCUUCCAUGCUCAGCGUAAGUGGGAGGCUUUGAAGGACACCUUCCGGGGUGUCCCGAGCCGUCAAUGAGACACCACCCCUGGAAGUUGGAACAUCUAACACCGGUCCCGUGAAUCCGGGCGGAGGACCAUGGCAGACGGUCAGUUUUACUGGGGCGGUAUCCUCCCAAAGAGUAACGGAGGAGCGCGAUGGUCGGCUCAGCCUGGUUGGCAAUCAGGUGUUGAGUGCAUUGGCAUAAGCCGGCCUAACUGUGAGACCCACCAGUCGAGCAGAUGCGAAAGUAGGUCAAAGUGAUCCGGCGCCGAAAAAAAAAAAGAAAAAAAGAAGAUAGAGCGACAGGCAAGUCUAGUACGAUAACCUUAAAUCUUCAUCUUUGCCCCCCUAGAUCGGAAGAGCACACGUCUGAACUCCAGUCACAUCUCGUAUGCCGUCUUCUG